UACAGAGGUCUCAAGCGUUGUUCGGAUUCAUUGGGCGUAAAGGGUGCGUAGGCGGCGCGGUAAGUCGGGUGUGAAAUCUCGGAGCUUAACUCCGAAACUGCAUUCGAUACUGCCGUGCUUGAGGACUGGAGAGGAGACUGGAAUUUACGGUGUAGCGGUGAAAUGCGCAGAUAUCAGGAGGAACACCGGUGGCGAAGGCGGGUCUCUGGGCCGAUACUGACGCUGAGGAGCGAAAGCGUGGGGGAGCGAACAGG
rnacentral:rRNA from 1 species